rnacentral:lncRNA from 1 species
GCUGCAUUUCCAAAUUGGAUAAUUUCAUGUAAUGCUUAAGUGCUCGUUUCCCUGGAAGCAGAGAAAGAAGAAGCCCCUGGAUUGCUUUCUUCUUUACAAAGGAGUUACGUUACCUGGGUGCAUAAGAGGUUACAGCUACCAGGUACUGCUUCUCAAAACAGUCUCAGACAUCAUUCUGGGAUAUACCAACAAAUUGUUAUGGAUGUUUACUGGAGUAGCAAAAGAUAAAACAGACUGAUGACAUGGGUACCAGCUUCAGGAUUCUGAGCAAUACAAGGAGAAAAAAAAAACAACUGAAGACAUGAGAAUGAAUGUGACGUCAAGUGGAGAACUAUACAAAGCUACAUUUAAAUAUGUGCUUUACCAGAAGAUAUUGAAAUAUAAAAUCAGUUGUUAAACCACGGAAAUGUGACAUUGAAGCAACAGGAUAGAUCACAGUAAUAUCAACUGGAUUGUAGUUCAUACAGAUUUUUUUUUCUUCAUAUUUAAAUAAUCUAUAAUGUAUUGAUUCCAAGAAACUUUAUUCACAUACAGAUUCCAAAUUAUAACCAGACAUAAAGUGCUUAAUCUUCUGGUGUUUAUUUGUUUUGGUAGUGGUGGUUGUUUAUUUGUUUGUUUUUAAGGAUAGCAUCCAUUACUUAGACAAGUUUUCCUGUCCAUGAAUCCAGAGCAAGUCUGACACAUCACACUUUAAGAAGAAAAUAGUUAGAAAAGCCUCAAAGGACAUGAGUUGCAGAUUAACUUUGAAACUCGGAAUAUAGACAGUAAUUUUCAAAAGCGAUGAAAUUAAAAAUACUCAUUAGGACACCAGUCCCAAUGUGGAGGCAAAUCUUAAUAAGUCUGGGAGACUUAUAUUGGUUAGUAAUUCCUGCAACUGAAAGGAACAUUUUCAAAAAUCAUGCUGCACUGAUGUAUCUCAAUUUGGGCAAUCCAAACCUUAGAUGUCUUCAAGUCACUUGUGAAAAUUCAGGUUGCAGAUAGAGUUAACAAUUUUCACAUGUGUAUGCUCUCUUCAGGAGAGAUACACAUUCCUCCCAGUCAAAGUGCAACACAAUGCUCUGGGAAGGAUGUCUCUUUAUUCUUUGGAAUCAGUAUUUUUAAUACUUGUUUCUUUUUUAAUUUGAUUGCAGAUCAGUUCUGAAGUUGGUUAAGAGAUUCAAUCUUCCUCUGCCUUUCAAAAAUGAG